UCAGUGGGUUAAGGAUCCGGCGUUGCCGUGAGCUGUGGUGUAGGUUGCAGACGCGGCUCGGAUCCCGCGUUGCUGUGGCUCUGGCGUAGGCCGGUGGCUACAGCUCCGAUUCGACCCCUGGCCUGGGAACCUCCAUAUGCCGUGGGAGCGGCCCAGGAAAUAGCAACAAUAACAACAACAACAACAAAAGACAAAAGACAAAAAAAAAAAAAAAAAAAAAAAAAAAGAGUGUCUGAGGGUACCUAUUACCUCAUAUCUUCACCAACACUGGGGUUCAACACGCUUAUUGAUGAAAAAUAGGUUUAUUUGCUGUAUUAACUAGGACUCUGUAAAUGACAGGACUUUAGUUUGAUUUCGCUUCAAGAAAAGAGGAAUACUUACUGGCUCAAGUGUCAACACCAAGGGGAUGGUAGCGAUUGAGCUGGACACCUGCAAUCAGAGAUACUGACCCCAGCCGUUAGCUCCCCAACUCUUGGCCUUUCAACAUGGCACCCAACUGUAUUGGCUUCAUUCUCUCCCACUGCUGGCCGGGGAGGGAGGCCGUGGAGUUCUAGACCCGAGACCCUCAGGACAUGAACAGAGAUCAAAGUCUCCUCCCUUCCGGUUCCCAUUAAGGGGGAGAAUCAGAUGCAUCCAGCGGUGGUCAGGUGCCCAUCCUGGUGCCACGUGAGGGUCAUUACAUGGUUGAGCGGGGGUGUUUCUGGCAGAAUUGUUCACUCUCCUGUGCAGGCAGAACAAUACGUGUGACCACGUUUACCUCUGCUCGGCAAAUAGUAGGAGGCAGCAUCUCUAAUGGCUUUAUUGUCCAUUUCUUGUUCACCUUCGGUGACUUGUCCAUUCCGCUAUUUCGCUCAUUGUGUGACUGACCACAUAGCAUGGACACAGUGACAAAUCUGUGAGCCACGCGCUUGAACAAGGCAUCCUCUGUUUCUCAGUCUCGAGGGAAUUCACACCUGACGGACCAGGAGACUGGUCUCCAGGGGUCUCAUGACUCUCCCUGUUGGUGUUCUUCUCCUGUGGGGCUGGGGGCUCCGAGUAAGUCACAAUUGUCUAAGUAUCAGGCUAGGAAGGAUGUGCUCAAUUAUAUGCAGGUGAGCUCCCCAGCAAGGGACUUCUGAGCCUUUUCAGAGACGAAAAUGAAGACAGCACCCUAGGAGGAGGUGAUUAUCCUCCACAAAGCUCAGCUCAACUGUAGAGGGAGCCGUGUUUGUGAGACCGCUGGUUAAAAUGACCAGGGACAUAGUUAUUACAGCAGCUUCGAGGGCUGAUGCCACCAGCUGGAGUUACACGAUUUAUAAGCAAUGAUGCUGAAAGCUCCAGGUUCCUCACCUGAAAAAUGACUAAAACAGAGCAGGUAAUGCCAAGUGUGUCUUUCUUUAGAGUUAGUGCCAUCUGCCUCUAAUGCAUGACGGGCUCUCCAGCAUCCUCAGGCCCCCCUGCCCGCCCUUCGGGCAGUGGGGGCGGGGGGAGACUGCUGAAGAUCUCUUCCUGCAGAAGGUCUCAGCUUUCACCCUCUCCUGUCCGCCCCUCCCCAUUACACCUGCGGCUCCAUCUCUCGUGUGGUUCCCCCCUCCCCCUCCCCGGGUCUUAGGCACUUUCUGCCCUUGACAGACACCCCCGGGGCUGUGCAACUCUUGGCUCUAGGAUGUAAAGAGGAACCAUCUCUGGUACUCUGGGCCCACUUCUCUGUGCAGAAGCCGUUGCUUUGUUGAUUUUUUAUUUAUUUCUUUUUUGGCUGCCCUGUGGCCUACGGUGUUCCUGGGCCAGGGAUCAGACCUGAGCCUCAGCUGCAGCAACGCUGGAGCCUUAAUCCGCUGUGCCCAGCGGGGACUGAACCUGCUGCCCAGCCCUCCAGAGAGGCCGCCGAGCCUGGGAAUCUACGCUUCAAUGUUCUGUUGUGUGGGUUCCCAAUGGGAUCCCCUAAGGAGAGGCAGCAGUCAAACAGUUUCCCACUCACGAGCCACAAACUGGGGGUGGAGAGGGCUUCUGCUGGGGUGGGCGGCUCUCCUGGGGGUGUGUGGGUGUCUGGCUCUCUGCUCGAAGGGCCGGGCAGCGGAAGAAUCUCGCGCCUAGUAACUCUCAAGACUGCACUGUUACAAUCCACCGUAACGGGGUCGGAUGCUAGGGCUGACUGCCGCCGACGCCCCCACUAAACGGUUGUAACAGUGGGGGAGUGUGUGAGCGAGGGGUUACCGUUACCUUAAUUAUUGGCGAGUCUUGAGAAAUUAAUCAGUGUCCCAAUGAUUGUUUACCUUAGGCCCUAUAAGAACCGAUCCCCGCCUGGUUGGUGUGUCCAGCUGUUCACAGAUGUUGAAAGCAGCCACCAAGCAGACCUUGGGGUCUCAUGGAAGGUGGAGCCGAGGAUAUCUUCCUAAUGAGGUGUAACUGGGCAGAAAUGUGGUUUCCACCCCAAAUUCAGUUUAAUCCGUGACCUCUGUUUGCUUGGGGAAGAGGCAGUUCAAAAAUAUAUUGUGACUUCUGUAGUCCUUUGAAAAAGGUGAUGGGUUUCUUCCCAGAUGAAAUGAUCGGUUCCUUUACCUGGAAAAUAUGGAUGCGAUACUAUGGCCUGGGUUUGGGGAAGAACCUGCUGUAUUUCGUCAUCUGAAUAAUGUAAUAGCAUCUAAUUAUUCUCUGACAAUAAGGAGAUGCACAUUUGUCCUCCAGUUUCUUUGUCUCGAUUCUUUUUACCCACAGGCUUCUUUAUCUUAAUGAUUUCGCCGUCUUUGUGAGCAGAGGCGUUGCCACCCCCUGGUGACCCCAGACCAGGACUCGCUCAUCCAUCCAUCCGUUCAACAAGUGUUUACUGAAAACCUACUAUGCGUCAACUGUGUUAGUUGGGCUCACUUCAGAGCAGGGCCUGGGGCAAGGGUGGGAGUGCAGGGGUUUAUCUGUGUGGUCACCCCAGGAAGUGGUGGGGGAGGGGCAUGUGAAACAGGGAGGAGGGGGAGCCCAUGGAGGCCCCCUGGAGAAAGAAACGUCCCUGAGCAGGACAGGAGGGCCAGCUGUUUAGUCCUGCCUCUCAUUGGUUGAGAGUGACCCCUGGGGACACUGCCUUGAUUGCAUACCUCCAGCAACCUCAUAAAUAAAAAGAAGCAGUUCCUUGAGAUGGGAGCUCUCAGCUUGCAGGGACCUAGUCCGGGUUAUGUGGGGCCACUGAUGGUGUCUGCUCUGCCACCUCGGUCUCCUGCUAGGGACACAGUGAUGCCCAGAAUGGUACCUUCUCUGCUUUCAUAUAUGGGGGAAGAGAGACGUUGAACAAACACGUGCGUUGUACUUGGACGUGUGAUAAAUGCCUACAGAAGUUCAGAGUAAGUUCACAGUGGGGAGAAUGACCUUAUCUGGGGAUUAAGAUGAUUUCAAAUCCCAAAUAAUGAAGUCUGAGUGCAUGAUUUAUCGAGGUUACAUACUAUAAGAAAAGAUUUAUUUACCUGCUCUAAGACAAGGUUUAAACUUGGUGUCGUGACGAAUUCCUAGCACUUUUUGUGAUCAUCCUAAGAGCUAUCAACAUAUAGAGAACACCAAGUGACAGACAGAUUCUGUAAUCGUUGGUGGUUCUGGCAGCCCGACUGUGGCUAGAUGGGAACUACUGCGCGCUUAAGAUGGAAUGAUUUACAUGGAUAAACAUGGAUACUUUCAAAAAGUACAUGGAUGCUUUUAACAAGUAUCAUUUAUUUUCUAAUUAUAGGAAUGACAUAGGUUUACUAGAGAAAAUAAGAAAAUGCAUAUAAUAUAUAGUAUGUAUUAUGCAUACUGCUUAGUACAUACAGUAUAUAUAAUAUUUAUUAUAAAUAGUAAAUAUUUGGUUAUAAAUAAUAGUGGUGAUUAUAUAUGUGUGUGUGCACAUAUAUAUAAAUAUAUAUAAAAAUAUAUAUGUAAACUCACACCAGAGCAAAAUGGAUUGUUUAAGGGUUACUUCCUUCCAAUUCUUUUUAUUAGCAUGUUUUUUCUAAGUCUUUGAGUCCUCAAUUUACUAUGCAGUUUGUCUUAUCCUCGGAUAUUCCUGAAAACGCAUGACGUAGUAAGUUGUAAAUGCACAGAGGUGCAGAAUUGAGUCACAUACGAAUUGAGUCAAAGAGUCUAGCCAACCAACUAACCCACGAGUAAGCUCAUUUUAUGAGAAACGUUCUGUUCUCUGUAAACCUGGGGAGACGCCAACAUUUCCAGGCCUCCCGUCCCUUGCAAACAUCAUAGACGUUGUCACCUGUGAAAAUCAAGGUCACGUGUAUGUUUUUGUCAUAUAUUUAUUGAAAUUAUACCAGCUCUGCAGUUUUACACCCUAUUUUAUGUAACACUUUUUUUUUCAUGCUGAUAAUUUUCUAUGGCCAAAUGAUAUUCUACAGCAUGAAUAUAACAUAAUUUGCUUUUAUGUCCACUUCUACUCUUGGAAUGUAAGUUGCUUCCAGGCCUGUGUUGUUAAAAUCAAUACCGCCGUGACUUUCUUGAGAAUUAACCUGUGUCUGAAUUUUUGAAAAUUUCUUGGCAGAGCUAUCUAAACUUGCGAUUUCUGGGUCAAAGAGAAUGAAGAUUCUGAAGGUGUCUGCAAAUGGUACUUGUUAAAUGUGGUCCAGUUGCUUUCCUGAAACGCUGAAAUAUGGGUCAACAUUUUUAAAAACAUUGUUCACCCUCUUCAAUUAUAUUGAUUAAUGUUUUGUCAAAAUAAUCAAUCUGGUUGUGUGCUCAGAGCUUUCCGAUGCUUUUUCACUGUAAAAGAAAUAGGAAUUCAUUAAGCGAUGGUGGGAAAAGAGGAUGAAAAACAUUGCCUUAGCUUCACUCUGCCACGUACACCACCAAAGUUUUGUAUAUACUGAAUAUAUUUUAAUACACCUUCUGCUUUGCGGCUUUCUUUCCUUCUUCCUUCCUCCCUCUUUCUUCCUUUCUUCCCUCCUUCCCUUCUUCCUUCCUUCCUUUCUUUCCCCCGUGGUCACACACGCAGCAUUUUGGAAGUUCCCAAGCCAGGAAGAGAAGCCGAACCUCCAAAGUGACCCGAGCCCUGCAGUCAGAUUCUUAACCCACGGGGCUGCAGCAGGAACUCCCUGUUUUUCUUUUUCGGGGGGUAAGUCCCCAUUCCUUUGGAUCCCUGUGCAUGAGCCUGUUGUUGAGUCUGUACAGAGAAGCGUGUACGUGUGUGAACACAGGCCCGUGGCCGGCAGGAGGGUGGACGUUUCCCCCAUUUUUUGCCUUCCAUUGUCGUUAUAUUUUUCUGGGAUUAUUCUCAAAAGCCAGGACGUUGAAGGUGGUUUCAGGAUGGCUGAUUUAUCUCCUCACUGAGAUAAUUUUUGAAGACUUAACAUACCACCCAGAGCAUGGAAGCCUUGGGGAGGAAUCUGGUUUUGGAAGAGCUUUUCAGAGUGUUUUUCAAACUCCAGAGAAGAUGAGUUUGGCCCGAGAAGGUGUGUUGCCUCCGACGUGAUCCUCUUUCAGGAAGUGAAGCCGGCCUUUUGACCACACGAGCUUGGAGACUCGGGGUCUUGUGUAACCACUUCUCUCAUCUCAGAUCAGAAGGAGGGGAGGAGAGGAGGCCUUGCUCCCACUUAUUUACCCAAUUCUAUCAGGUCGACCGUUGGAACUAAUGGGUCGAUUAGGUCAAACGGUUGACCAGUGCAGGUUAAACAAGUUACUUGCUUUUAAAAAAAAUAAAUAAAAGCAACGUCUUUUCUUUGUAAGCACUCAAUUGACAUGAAAUUCCUGCUCCUCCUGUGUUUGUGGGGUGUGGACGGGCAGCUGAGGCGGUCGGGACAGAGCAGACACGAGGACAAAAGAGGCUGAUAACACUUGGGGACUGGGCUGACCGAGGGGUCAGGAGCCAGAACAGCAGUUUGAGAUCAAGGGACGUAGAUAGCAGGGGGCGAGGCUCCUGCCAGCCAGUGGUCACUGAGAGUGGCAGGGCUGCCAGACCCCGGGGGGUGGGCUAGGCACCCAGCCACCCUGCAGGGAGGGCUGCUGGCUGAGGUCACUGCCUGCCCAUCCCAGCUGCCCUUCGUCCCCUCUUCCCAGGUGAGAACCAGCCCUCCCUGGGUUCUGCCUGGGACCCCGCAGGUACAAAAAACUCAAAGUGGCUGGUGGGGGGAAAUGCAGGGUAGAGGCAGUGGCUGAUGCUGCUUCGGGAAAGAAGGACCUUUAUGAACUCCUGUCCAGGCCAUGUAACGUUUUCAGGCCAGUUUGCUUCUCCCUGAGAGAAGAGGUAGCGUCUCAGAAGCUGGGUUCUCAGUGUGUGAGAGGCUCCUCGUCCAUGUUCCAUCAAACCUAAGUGAACCAGAGAAAGAAAAGAAAAAAAAGGUAGCAGAAGACAACUUCUGACAUGUGCGGCUGUAUUUUAAUUACUUAGUUAAUUUUUAAAAGUGAUAUUUGGGGAGUUCCCAUCGUGGCACAGCGGAAGCGAAUCUGACUAGCAUCCAUGAGGACACAGGUUCGAUCCCUGGCCUCGCUUAGUGGGUUAAGGAUCCUGCGUUGUUGUGGCUGUCGUGUAGGCCAGCAGCUACGGUUCCGACUUGACUCCCCAGCCUGGGAACCUCCAUAUGCCGCGAGGGUGGCCCUAAAAA
rnacentral:lncRNA from 1 species